UGGGGAAUAUUGCACAAUGGGGGAAACCCUGAUGCAGCGACGCCGCGUGAACGAAGAAGGUAUUCGUAUCGUAAAGUUCUGUCCUAUGGGAAGAUAAUGACAGUACCAUAGAAGAAAGCUCCGGCUAAAUACGUGCCAGCAGCCGCGGUAAUACGUAUGGAGCGAGCGUUGUCCGGAAUUAUUGGGCGUAAAGGGUACGCAGGCGGUUUAAUAAGUCGAAUGUUAAAGAUCGGGGCUCAACCCCGUAAAGCAUUGGAAACUGAUAAACUUGAGUAGUGGAGAGGAAAGUGGAAUUCCUAGUGUAGUGAUGAAAUACGUAGAUAUUAGGAGGAAUACCAGUAGCGAAGGCGACUUUCUGGUCACAAACUGACGCUGAGGUACGAAAGCGUGGGGAGCAAACAGG
rnacentral:rRNA from 1 species